rnacentral:rRNA from 1 species
CCUACGGGAGGCAGCAGUGAGGAAUAUUGGUCAAUGGGCGGAAGCCUGAACCAGCCAAGUCGCGUGAGGGAAUAAGGCCCUACGGGUCGUAAACCUCUUUUGCCGGGGAGCAAGGGCCGGGACGCGUCCCGGCCCGGAGAGUACCCGGAGAAAAAGCAUCGGCUAACUCCGUACCAGCAGCCGCGGUAAUACGGAGGAUGCGAGCGUUAUCCGGAUUUUUUGGGUUUAAAGGGUGCGUAGGCGGGCUUUUAAGUCAGCGGUAAAAAUUCGGGGCUCAACCCCGUCCGGCCGUUGAAACUGGGGGCAUUGAGUGGGCGAGAAGAAGGCGGAAUGCGUGGUGUAGCGGUGAAAUGCAUAGAUAUCACGCAGAACCCCGAUUGCGAAGGCAGCCUUCCGGCGCCCUACUGACGCUGAGGCACGAAAGUGCGGGGAUCGAACAGGAUUAGAUACCCUUGUAGUC